CCUACGGGAGGCAGCAGUGAGGAAUAUUGGUCAAUGGGCGAGAGCCUGAACCAGCCAAGUCGCGUGAAGGAUGAAGGCUCUAUGGGUUGUAAACUUCUUUUAUAAGGGAAUAAAGUGAGGCACGUGUGCCUUUUUGUAUGUACUUUAUGAAUAAGGAUCGGCUAACUCCGUGCAAGCGUCCGCGGUAAUACGGAGGAUCCGAGCGUUAUCCGGAUUUAUUGGGUUUAAAGGGUGCGUAGAUGGUUUGUUAAGUCAGUGGUGAAAGUUUGGGGCUCAACCUUAAAAUUGCAGUUGAAACUGGCAGACUUGAGUAUAUUUGAGGUAGGCGGAAUGCGUGGUGUAGCGGUGAAAUGCUUAGAUAUCACGCAGAACUCCGAUUGCGAAGGCAGCGUACUAAACUACCACUGACACUGAUGCACGAAAGCGUGGGGAUCAAACAGGAUUAGAUACCCCUGUAGUC
rnacentral:rRNA from 1 species